rnacentral:tRNA from 1 species
GUAGCUCAGUGGAAGAGCAUCUGCCUUGCAAGCAGGAGGUCUCAGGUUCAAUCUCCAAUUGCA